rnacentral:tRNA from 1 species
UAAAAGAUGGCUGAGCUAAUAAGCAUUAGGUUGAAGGCCUAAGAACGAUAAAAUUUUAUCUCUUUU